GUUGCUUCUUAUGGUGGACUCCUGUAAAUUUUCAUUGGUUGGGGAUGUUCAAGUUUCUGAUGCAUAGAUAGAAUAUCCAGUAUCAAACAGCACCGUGCAUUUUUGCUUGCAUAUGUUACCGGUCUCCUGUUACACGU